UUAAAUUGAAGAGUUUGAUCAUGGCUCAGAUUGAACGCUGGCGGCAGGCCUAACACAUGCAAGUCGAACGGUAACAGGAAUCAGCUUGCUGAUUUGCUGACG
rnacentral:rRNA from 1 species